AGUUUGAUCCUGGCUCAGAUUGAACGCUGGCGGAUGCUUUACACAUGCAAGUCGAACGGCAGCACGGACUUCGGUCUGGUGGCGAGUGAUGAACGGGUGAGUAAUGUAUCGGAACGUGCCUAGUAAAGGGGAUAACUACGCGAAAGGAAGCAUUACCGCAUACGGCCCUUCGGGGGAAAGCGGGGACCUUUCGGGCCUCGCACUAUUAGAGCGUGGCCGAUAUCGGAUUAGCUAGUUGGUGGGCAACGGCUCACUCAAGGCGACGAUCCGUAGCUGGUUUGAGAGGACGACCAGCCACACUGGGGAUUCUGGAGACACGGCCCAGACUCCUACGGGAGGUGCAGUGGGGAAUUUUGGACAAUGGGGAAACCCUGAUCCAGCCAUCUCGCGUGCGAUGAAGGCCUUCGGGGUUGUAAAGCACUUUUGGCAGGAGAAACGGCACGGGAUAAUAAUACCCCUUGUGCAACUGACGGUACCUGCAGAAUAAGCACCGGCUAACUACGCCAGCAGCCGCGGUAAUACGUAGGGUGCAAGCGUUAAUCGGAAUUACCGCUGCGAAGCGUGCGCAGCAGGCGGUUCGAAAAGAAAGAUGAAAUCCCAGAGCUUAAUCCCUUGGGAACUGCAUUUUUAACUACCGAGCUAGAGUGUGUCAGAGGGAGGUGAAUUCCGCGUGUAGCAGUGAAAUGCGUAGAUAUGCGAGAACACCGAUGGCGAAGGCAGCCUCUGGGAUAACACUGACGCUCAUGCACGAAAGCGUGGGAGCAAAACAGACGACACCCCGGUAGUCCACGCCCUAAACGAUGUCAAUCAGCUGUUGUGGGGCCUUCGGGCCUUUGGUAGCGCAGCUAACGCGUGAAGUUGACCGCCUGGGGAGUACGGUCGCAAGAUUAAAACUCCAAAGGAAUUGACGGGGACCCGCACAAGCGGUGGAUGAUGUGGAUUAAUCUGAUGCAACGCGAAAACCUUACCUACCCUUGACAUGUCUGAAUCCUGAAGAGAUUUGGGAGUGCUCGCAAGAGAACCGGAACACAGGUGCUGCAUGGCUGUCGUCAGCUCGUGUCGUGAGAUUAAUGCGAGUCCCGCAAUGACGCAACCCAUCACGUUAUUACCAGUACCCUAAUGACUGCCGGUAUAAACUGGAUGGAAGCAGGGGAUGACGUCAUCCUCAUAACUGACAAGAACAACCGUAUCGCCAUGAAAUGGUCGGUGAUGGUGAGGUCGCCAACCCGCGAUAGAGUCAAUCCCAGAAACCCGAUCGAAACUGGAUCGCAGUCUGCAACUCGACUGCGUGAAGUCGGAAUCGCUACAAUCGCGGAUCAGCAUGUCGUGGUGAAUACGUUCCCGGGUCUUGUACACACCGCCCGUCACACCAUGGGAGUGGGUUUUACCAGAAGUAGUUAGCCUAACCGUAAGGAGGUGGCGAUUACCACGGUAGGAUUCAUGACUGGGGUGAAGUCGUAAAUAAAGGCAG
rnacentral:rRNA from 1 species